rnacentral:rRNA from 1 species
UAGGUGAACCUGCGGAGGGAUCAUUACUGAGUUUACGCUCUAUAACCCUUUGUGAACAUACCUAUAACUGUUGCUUCGGCGGGUAGGGUCUCCGCGACCCUCCCGGCCUCCCGCCUCCGGGCGGGUCGGCGCCCGCCGGAGGAUAACCAAACUCUGAUUUAACGACGUUUCUUCUGAGUGGUACAAGCAAAUAAUCAAAACUUUUAACAACGGAUCUCUUGGUUCUGGCAUCGAUGAAGAACGCAGCGAAAUGCGAUAAGUAAUGUGAAUUGCAGAAUUCAGUGAAUCAUCGAAUCUUUGAACGCACAUUGCGCCCGCCAGCAUUCUGGCGGGCAUGCCUGUUCGAGCGUCAUUUCAACCCUCAAGCUCUGCUUGGUGUUGGGGCCCUACAGCUGAUGUAGGCCCUCAAAGGUAGUGGCGGACCCUCUCGGAGCCUCCUUUGCGUAGUAACUUUACGUCUCGCACUGGGAUCCGGAGGGACUCUUGCCGUAAAACCCCCAAUUUUCCAAAGGUUGACCUCGGAUCAGGUAGGAAUACCCGCUGAACUUAAGCAUAUCAAUAAGCGGAGGAAAUCGA